ACUGUGAAGUCUUCCUAAAUUUUAUUGGCACUGAAAUAGAACAUGGAUUGAGCAUAAACCCCUCCAAAAACAAUUUUUAAAAAACCCAAAAAGUACACAAAAAACCCCUGAAUACAAAAUCUAACCUUUUCCCCCAGCCUCCCUAAGGGUAAGUUACUGACUUUAAGGCAGCUAUUAAUAGAUUGUCAGGCACAGAGUGGGGGGUGGUGGCCAGGGGGAAUUGAGGGAGGCUCUAAGCUAGGGGCACUGCAUGGUGGGACAGGAUGGCCCCUUGAGGACUGAACCCUGGGGAGAAGACAAA
rnacentral:lncRNA from 1 species